AUGUGGAAUGAUGAUCUGCAAGUUCAUGUUCAUAGUGCUAGCUUCCAUGUUAUCUUAGCUAUUGCUGUACAUAGUACUAGCAAUCUGAAGUUUGGCUUCGUGUGUAUCUAUGGUGAUCCGUAUCAUCGUCAAACUUUUCAAAUCUGGAGUAAGGUGGCUGCUUUUGCGUAUAAUAACUCGAGUUUACCCAUGCUAUGUAUAGGGGAUAUGAAUGAGCUUUUGUAUGAUAUGGACACAAACUCCCCUAAUAUAAAUCGCUCUCGCAUGUAUGGUUUU
rnacentral:rRNA from 1 species